rnacentral:tRNA from 1 species
UGGGUUGUGGCUCAGUGAUAGAGCACUUGCCUAGCAUGUGUGAGGUACUGAGUUCAAUUCUCAGCACCGCAU